rnacentral:lncRNA from 1 species
AAGUCAUGCUCGAAAUGGAGCGAGGCGGCGGAGCUGGGGAGGCGGUAAUCUCGCGAGAUGGAAGCCAGCCUCCGCUAGGCCCGGAAGCCUCGUCUGAGGGGGCGGGGGACGGAGGAGGGAGCGGGAGUCGAGCGAGAGCCUGUGGAGGAGUCCGCCUGCUGUAGCGUGCGUAAGCAAGGCAGCUACGCCGGGCGGCUACGCUGCGGAAUCGGCGUAGGCGCCUUUGGAGAAUCGGCGGGCUGCGCUCCGCUGGGGCUGGUCGCGGAGGGGGGGAGGGGAUGUCGGUCAGUGCGAGAUCCGCUGCUGCUGAGGAGAGGAGCGUCAACAGCAGCACCAUGGUAGCUCAACAGAAGAACCUUGAAGGCUAUGUGGGAUUUGCCAAUCUCCCAAAUCAAGUAUACAGAAAAUCGGUGAAGAGAGGUUUUGAAUUCACGCUUAUGGUAGUGGGUGAAUCUGGAUUGGGAAAGUCGACAUUAAUCAACUCAUUAUUCCUCACAGAUUUGUAUUCU